rnacentral:tRNA from 1 species
GGACGCUUAGCUCAGCUGGCCAGAGCAUCGCUUUUACACAGCGGGGGCCGGGGGUUCGAGUCCCUCAGCGUCCA